GGCCUCUCUCUCCUGGGGGGUUCCUUUUCUUCUGAGCCAGAGCUGGAGGGCAGGAUCAGCUUUAAGGAUUAUUAUUGGGGCUGCCUUGAGCUGGGCAGCCUUGUUUUCCUACCUCAGAUAUUU